UAACCCUCUUAUAGGACCUGGAGGCGGC
rnacentral:sRNA from 1 species